rnacentral:rRNA from 1 species
ACGUAGGGUGCGAGCGUUAAUCGGAAUUACUGGGCGUAAAGCGUGCGCAGGCGGUUUGGUAAGACAGUGGUGAAAUCCUCCGGCUCAACCGGAGAACUGCUAUUGUUACUGGACGACUAGAGUACCGUAGAGGUGGGCGGAAUUUCACGUGUAGCAGUGAAAUGCUUAGAUAUGUGGCAGAACACCGAUGGCGAAGGCAGCUCACUAGAUCGAAACUGACGCUCAGGCACGAAAGCGUGGGGAGCAAACAG